rnacentral:rRNA from 1 species
CGGGGUGCAACAGGCGCGAAACCUCUGCAAUAGGCGAAAGCUUGACAGGGUUACUCUGAGUGAUGCCCGCUAAGGGCAUCUUUUGGCACCUCUAAAAAUGGUGCAGAAUAAGGGGUGGGCAAGUCUGGUGUCAGCCGCCGCGGUAAUACCAGCACCCCGAGUGGUCGGGACGAUUAUUGGGCCUAAAGCAUCCGUAGCUCGUUCUGCAAGUCCCCCGUUAAAUCCACCUGCUCAACAGAUGGGCUGCGGAGGAUACUACAGGGCUAGGAGGCGGGAGAGGCAAGCGGUACUCAGUGGGUAGGGGUAAAAUCCUCUGAUCCACUGAAGACCACCAGUGGCGAAGGCGGCUUGCCAGAACGCGCUCGACGGUGAGGGAUGAAAGCUGGGGGAGCAAACCGGAUUAGAUACCCGGGUAGUCCCAGCUGUAAACGAUGCAGACUCGGUGAUGGGUUGGCUUUGCGCCAACCCAGUGCCGCAGGGAAGCCGUUAAGUCUGCCGCCUGGGGAGUACGGUCGCAAGACUGAAACUUAAAGGAAUUGGCGGGGGAGCA